rnacentral:tRNA from 1 species
ACAGUGGUGGUUCAGAGGUAGAAUUCUUACCUUCCAUUGAGGAGACCCGAGUUCAAUUCCCGGCCAGUGCA